UACGAAGGGGGCUAGCGUUGCUCGGAAUCACUGGGCGUAAAGCGCACGUAGGCGGAUUGCUAAGUCAGGGGUGAAAUCCUGGAGCUCAACUCCAGAACUGCCCUUGAUACUGGCGGUCUCGAGUCCGGGAGAGGCGAGUGGAACUGCGAGUGUAGAGGUGAAAUUCGUAGAUAUUCGCAAGAACACCAGUGGCGAAGGCGGCUCACUGGCCCGGUACUGACGCUGAGGUGCGAAAGCGUGGGGAGCAAACAGG
rnacentral:rRNA from 1 species